UACGGAGGGUGCAAGCGUUAUCCGGAUUCACUGGGUUUAAAGGGUGCGUAGGUGGGUCUGUAAGUCAGUGGUGAAAUCUCCGGGCUUAACCCGGAAACUGCCAUUGAUACUAUAGGUCUUGAAUUUUCUGGAGGUCAGCGGAAUAUGUCAUGUAGCGGUGAAAUGCUUAGAUAUGACAUAGAACACCAAUUGCGAAGGCAGCUGGCUACAGGAACAUUGACACUGAGGCACGAAAGCGUGGGGAUCAAACAGG
rnacentral:rRNA from 1 species